rfam:Triticum aestivum genome assembly, contig: Triticum_aestivum_CS42_TGACv1_scaffold_424786_5BS
AGAGUACUCCCUCUGUCCCAUAUUAAUUGUCGCUGAAACGGAUGUAUCUUGACGUAUUUCAGUGCUAGAUACAUCUGUUUGAGCGACAAUUAAUGUGGGACGGAGGGAGUAGCAU